rnacentral:rRNA from 1 species
UUUGAUCCUGGCUCAGAUUGAACGCUGGCGGCAUGCUUUACACAUGCAAGUCGAACGGCAGCGCGGGGCAACCUGGCGGCGAGUGGCGAACGGGUGAGUAAUAUAUCGGAACGUACCCAAGAUGGGGGAUAACGUAGCGAAAGUUACGCUAAUACCGCAUACGAUCUAAGGAUGAAAGCAGGGGAUCUUCGGACCUUGUGCUCCUGGAGCGGCCGAUAUCUGAUUAGCUAGUUGGUGAGGUAAAGGCUCACCAAGGCCACGAUCAGUAGCUGGUCUGAGAGGACGACCAGCCACACUGGAACUGAGACACGGUCCAGACUCCUACGGGAGGCAGCAGUGGGGAAUUUUGGACAAUGGGCGAAAGCCUGAUCCAGCAAUGCCGCGUGAGUGAAGAAGGCCUUCGGGUUGUAAAGCUCUUUUGUCAGGGAAGAAACGGUUUGGGCUAAUAUCCUGAGCUAAUGACGGUACCUGAAGAAUAAGCACCGGCUAACUACGUG